AUAGAAAAGAAAUGAGGGUUGGGUG
rnacentral:piRNA from 1 species